AAGACCUUGCACUUUUGGAGCGGCCGAUGUCUGAUUAGCUAGUUGGUGGGGUAAUGGCCUACCAAAGCUUCGAUCAGUAGCUGGUCCGAGAGGACGGCCAGCCACACUGGGACUGAGACACGGCCCAGACUCCUACGGGAGGCAGCAGUGGGGAAUUUUGGACAAUGGGCGCAAGCCUGAUCCAGCCAUGCCGCGUGAGUGAAGAAGGCCUUCGGGUUGUAAAGCUCUUUCAGCCGGGAAGAAAAGGUUGCGACUAAUAAUCGCAAUUCAUGACGGUACCGAAAGAAGAAGCACCGGCUAACUACGUGCCAGCAGCCGCGGUAAUACGUAGGGUGCGAGCGUUAAUCGGAAUUACUGGGCGUAAAGGGUGCGCAGGCGGUUUUGUAAGUCAGAUGUGAAAUCCCCGGGCUUAACCUGGGAACU
rnacentral:rRNA from 1 species